GGAAUAUUGGGCAAUGGGCGGAAGCCUGACCCAGCCAUGCCGCGUGCAGGAAGACGGCGUUCUGCGUUGUAAACUGCUUUUAUCAGGGAAGAAAAGGCCCAUGCGUGGGAAAUUGCCGGUACCUGGUGAAUAAGCACCGGCUAACUCCGUGCCCGCAGCCGCGGUAAUACGGAGGGUGCAAGCGUUGUUCGGAUUUAUUGGGUUUAAAGGGUGCGUAGGCGGCCAGUUAAGUCAGCGGUGAAAGUUUUCGGCUCAACCGGAAAAAUGCCGUUGAUACUGAUUGGCUUGAGUCACGGAAGGGUACAUGGAAUUGGUGGUGUAGCGGUGAAAUGCAUAGAUACCAUCAGGAACACCGAUAGCGAAGGCAUUGUACUUGCCGUGAACUGACGCUGAGGCACGAAAGCGCGGGUAGCGAACAGG
rnacentral:rRNA from 1 species